rnacentral:rRNA from 1 species
AUUGAACGCUGGCGGAAUGCUUUACACAUGCAAGUCGAGCGGCAACACGCGGGUAACGCUGGUUGCUCGCGUCGAACGGGUGUGUAAUACAUGUGAACAUGCCCAGCCGUGGUGUAUAACACCUUGAAAAAAGUGCUAAUACCGCCUACUACCUGCGGGAGAAACCUGGUGAUGGCAAGACCUCGUCCGAUGGUAGUGGCCGAUGUCAGAUUGGCUAGUUGGUUGGGUAAAUACCUACCUAGGCAAGGAUCUGUAGCUGGUCUGAGAGGAUGAUCAGCCACACUGGGACUGAGACACGGACAAGACUCCUACGAGACGCAGCAGAGGGGAACUUUGGACAAUGGGGGCAAACCUGAUCCAGCCAUUCCACGUCAGUGAAGAAGACCUUCGGUGUGUAAAGCUCGUUCGCGAGGAGCGAACCGGUGAGCCCUAAGAUAGCGCGCUAAUGACGGUACCGGAAGAAGAAGCACCGGCUAACUACGUG